GAGUUUACGCUCUACAACCCUUUGUGAACAUACCUAUAACUGUUGCUUCGGCGGGUAGGGUCUCCGUGACCCUCCCGGCCUCCCGCCCCCGGGCGGGUCGGCGCCCGCCGGAGGAUAACCAAACUCUGAUUUAACGACGUUUCUUCUGAGUGGUACAAGCAAAUAAUCAAAACUUUUAACAACGGAUCUCUUGGUUCUGGCAUCGAUGAAGAACGCAGCGAAAUGCGAUAAGUAAUGUGAAUUGCAGAAUUCAGUGAAUCAUCGAAUCUUUGAACGCACAUUGCGCCCGCCAGCAUUCUGGCGGGCAUGCCUGUUCGAGCGUCAUUUCAACCCUCAAGCUCUGCUUGGUGUUGGGGCCCUACAGCUGAUGUAGGCCCUCAAAGGUAGUGGCGGACCCUCCCGGAGCCUCCUUUGCGUAGUAACUUUACGUCUCGCACUGGGAUCCGGAGGGACUCUUGCCGUAAAACCCCCCAAUUUUCCAAAGGUUGACCUCGGAUCAGGUAGGAAUACCCGCUGAACUUAAGCAUAUCAAUAAGCGGAGGAAAAGAAACCAACAGGGAUUGCCUCAGUAACGGCGAGUGAAGCGGCAACAGCUCAAAUUUGAAAUCUGGCCCUAGGCCCGAGUUGUAAUUUGCAGAGGAUGCUUUUGGUGCGGUGCCUUCCAAGUUCCCUAGAACGGGACGCCAGAGAGGGUGAGAGCCCCGUACAGUUGGACACCAAGCCUUUGUAAAGCUCCUUCGACGAGUCGAGUAGUUUGGGAAUGCUGCUCAAAAUGGGAGGUAUAUUUCUUCUAAAGCUAAAUACCGGCCAGAGACCGAUAGCGCACAAGUAGAGUGAUCGAAAGAUGAAAAGCACUUUGAAAAGAGGGUUAAACAGCACGUGAAAUUGUUAAAAGGGAAGCGCUUGUGACCAGACUUGCGUCCGGUGAAUCACCCAGCUCUCGCGGCUGGGGCACUUCGCCGGCUCAGGCCAGCAUCAGCUCGCUGUCGGGGACAAAAGCUUCAGGAACGUAGCUCUCUUCGGGGAGUGUUAUAGCCUGUUGCAUAAUACCCUUCGGCGGGCUGA
rnacentral:rRNA from 1 species